AAUGCCAAUGACUUAUCCUUAGGAGUCAGACUGCGAGUGAUAAGAUCCGUAGUCAAAAGGGAAACAGCCCAGACCGCCAGCUAAGGUCCCAAAGUGUGUAUUAAGUGGAAAAGGAUGUGGAGUUGCUUAGACAACUAGGAUGUUGGCUUAGAAGCAGCCACCAUUUAAAGAGUGCGUAAUAGCUCACUAGUCGAGUGACUCUGCGCCGAAAAUGUACCGGGGCUAAAUACACCACCGAAGCUGCGGAUUGAUACCAAUGGUAUCAGUGGUAGGGGAGCGUUCUAAGGACAGUGAAGUCAGACCGGAAGGACUGGUGGAGUGCUUAGAAGUGAGAAUGCCGGUAUGAGUAGCGAAAGACGGGUGAGAAUCCCGUCCACCGAAUGCCUAAGGUUUCCUGAGGAAGGCUCGUCCGCUCAGGGUUAGUCAGGACCUAAGCCGAGGCCGACAGGCGUAGGCGAUGGACAACAGGUUGAUAUUCCUGUACCACCUCUUUAUCGUUUGAGCAAUGGAGGGACGCAGAAGGAUAGAAGAAGCGUGCGAUUGGUUGUGCACGUCCAAGCAGUUAGGCUGAUAAGUAGGCAAAUCCGCUUAUCGUGAAGGCUGAGCUGUGAUGGGGAAGCUCCUUAUGGAGCGAAGUCUUUGAUUCCCCGCUGCCAAGAAAAGCUUCUAGCGAGAUAAAAGGUGCCUGUACCGCAAACCGACACAGGUAGGCGAGGAGAGAAUCCUAAGGUGUGCGAGAGAACUCUGGUUAAGGAACUCGGCAAAAUGACCCCGUAACUUCGGGAGAAGGGGUGCUUUCUUAACGGAAAGCCGCAGUGAAUAGGCCCAAGCGACUGUUUAGCAAAAACACAGCUCUCUGCGAAGCCGUAAGGCGAAGUAUAGGGGGUGACACCUGCCCGGUGCUGGAAGGUUAAGGAGAGGGGUUAGCGUAAGCGAAGCUCUGAACUGAAGCCCCAGUAAACGGCGGCCGUAACUAUAACGGUCCUAAGGUAGCGAAAUUCCUUGUCGGGUAAGUUCCGACCCGCACGAAAGGUGUAACGAUUUGGGCACUGUCUCAACCAGAGACUCGGUGAAAUUAUAGUACCUGUGAAGAUGCAGGUUACCCGCGACAGGACGGAAAGACCCCGUGGAGCUUUACUGUAGCCUGAUAUUGAAUUUUGGUACAGUUUGUACAGGAUAGGCGGGAGCCUUUGAAACCGGAGCGCUAGCUUCGGUGGAGGCGCUGGUGGGAUACCGCCCUGACUGUAUUGAAAUUCUAACCUACGGGUCUUAUCGACCCGGGAGACAGUGUCAGGUGGGCAGUUUGACUGGGGCGGUCGCCUCCUAAAGUGUAACGGAGGCGCCCAAAGGUUCCCUCAGAAUGGUUGGAAAUCAUUCGUAGAGUGCAAAGGCAUAAGGGAGCUUGACUGCGAGACCUACAAGUCGAGCAGGGACGAAAGUCGGGCUUAGUGAUCCGGUGGUUCCGCAUGGAAGGGCCAUCGCUCAACGGAUAAAAGCUACCCCGGGGAUAACAGGCUUAUCUCCCCCAAGAGUCCACAUCGACGGGGAGGUUUGGCACCUCGAUGUCGGCUCAUCGCAUCCUGGGGCUGUAGUCGGUCCCAAGGGUUGGGCUGUUCGCCCAUUAAAGCGGUACGCGAGCUGGGUUCAGAACGUCGUGAGACAGUUCGGUCCCUAUCCGUCGUGGGCGUAGGAAAUUUGAGAGGAGCUGUCCUUAGUACGAGAGGACCGGGAUGGACGCACCGCUGGUGUACCAGUUGUUCUGCCAAGGGCAUAGCUGGGUAGCUAUGUGCGGAAGGGAUAAGUGCUGAAAGCAUCUAAGCAUGAAGCCCCCCUCAAGAUGAGAUUUCCCAUAGCGUAAGCUAGU
rnacentral:rRNA from 1 species